GUCAGUCGUAGCUCAGUCGGGUAAGCGCCCGCUUCUCACGCCAGUGAUGCGGGUUCGAAUCCCGGCGCUAACA
rnacentral:tRNA from 1 species